UGACUUAGCGGCGGACGGGUGAGUAACGCGUGGGCAACCUGCCUUACACAGGGGGAUAACAAUUAGAAAUGAUUGCUAAUACCGCAUAAGACCCCGGUACCGCAUGGUACAGGGGUAAAAACUGAGGUGGUGUAAGAUGGGCCCGCGUCUGAUUAGGUAGUUGGUGGGGUAGAAGCCUACCAAGCCGACGAUCAGUAGCCGACCUGAGAGGGCGACCGGCCACAUUGGGACUGAGACACGGCCCAAACUCCUACGGGAGGCAGCAG
rnacentral:rRNA from 1 species